AGAAAACAGUAAAGAUGACGAAGAUUUGGCAUUGAUCACAAAAAAAUUCAGAUGGUUUAUAAAGAAAAAAAGAUAAGAGACCAAGAGAAGAUCACAAAUUAAGGGAGAGCCGAGUAAAGAAAAAGAGAAAGAACAGUCUGUCAUUUGUUAUGAGUGUAAGAAGUCGGACCACUUUAGAUCAGACUGUCUCCAGCUCAAGAAAGGUCUGAAGAAGUUCAAGAAGAAAAAGACAAUGAUAGCUAUGACUCCACCUC
rnacentral:lncRNA from 1 species